GACGAACCGUGCGAACGUUAUUCGGAAUCACUGGGCUUAAAGCGCGUGUAGGCGGGCCGCCGCGUCGGUUGCUGAAAUCCCCCGGCUCAACCGGGGAACGGGCAGCGAUACGGGCGGCCUGGGGGGGGGUAGGGGGGGCCGGAACUCACGGUGGAGCGGUGAAAUGCGUUGAGAUCGUGAGGAACGCCCGUGGCGAAAGCGGGCCCCUGGACCCUUGCUGACGCUGAGACGCGAAAGCCAGGGGAGCGAACGGG
rnacentral:rRNA from 1 species